UACGUAGGGCGCAAGCGUUUAUCCGGAAUUAUUGGGCGUAAAGAGCUCGUAGGCGGUUUGUCGCGUCUGCCGUGAAAGUCCGGGGCUCAACUCCGGAUCUGCGGUGGGUACGGGCAGACUAGAGUGAUGUAGGGGAGACUGGAAUUCCUGGUGUAGCGGUGAAAUGCGCAGAUAUCAGGAGGAACACCGAUGGCGAAGGCAGGUCACUGGGCCGCAACUGACGCUGAGGAGCGAAAGCAUGGGGAGCGAACAGG
rnacentral:rRNA from 1 species